rnacentral:rRNA from 1 species
AAGAGCUCAAAUUUGAAAUCUGGCGUGCUCAGUGCGUCCGAGUUGUAAUCUAUAGAGUCGUUUUCCGUGCCGGACUGUGUCCAAGUCCCUUGGAACAGGGUAUCAAAGAGGGUGAUAAUCCCGUACUUGACACAAUGACCGGUGCUCUGUGAUACGUCUUCUACGAGUCGAGUUGUUUGGGAAUGCAGCUCAAAAUGGGUGGUGAGUUCCAUCUAAAGCUAAAUAUUGGCGAGAGACCGAUAGCGAACAAGUACCGUGAGGGAAAGAUGAAAAGCACUUUGGAAAGAGAGUUAAACAGUACGUGAAAUUGUUAAAAGGGAAACGAUUGAAGUCAGUCGUGACUGAGAGGCUCAGCCGGUUCUGCCGGUGUAUUCCCCUCAGUCGGGUCAACAUCAGUUUUGUUCGGUGGAUAAGGGCAGUUGGAAGGUGGCACCCUCGGGUGUGUUAUAGCCAGCUGUCGCAUAGAUCGGAUGAGACUGAGGAAUGCAGCUCGCCUUUAUGGCCGGGGUUCGCCCACGUUCGAGCUUAGGAUGUUGACAUAAUGGCUUUAA